rnacentral:lncRNA from 1 species
UGUGUUUUCAGUACUGCAGCUUGUUUGACAACAGCUCUGUCCUUUGCAGGUAUUCUGCUGGACUUGCUUACCUUCAUUUUCAGUUUUUGCUUAUGCUAGCCAUUUGUGAGUGUCUCUCCUUCAUAGCCAAUGUUUACUGUUCAGGGAAAAAGAGUGUAAUGCUUCUGAUGCAUCCUGCUUUUCCUACAUGCAGCAGUGAAUGGCACCAUGACUGUCAGAUUAGAAACUAAAAAGUGUUCUAAAGGCAGCAGGAGUGCCUUUGUGGCCUGGAGAAGAAAGCAGAGCAAAAUGCUCAUGAGAAUUUGGACUACACCUGAAAUGGUGAAGAAAGAUCCCAUUUCUCGGUGGAUGAAAACAGAGUGGUAACUGUGAUCUAUACCUUGAUGAUCCUCAUGCUGAACCCACUGUUCCACAACCUCAGAAACAAGAGGUGAAGGCUGCUCUGAGGAGGAUGACACACAGAAUAAUAACACCAGGGAAGAGGGAGACCAUGACUCAAGACAGAGCCUGACUGAAGGCCAGCUGCUCACAGCUGCAUAAGCUCUUAUUUCAUUCUGCCUUUAUGUUCUGCUUGCAGAGACGUUAACAUUGCCUUUCACUUGGAGUAGUAUUGCUUCCUCUGUAAUGGAGCAGCAUAGCACUGCCUGUGUUCUUCUAGGGUGUGAGCCUGUGACUCUGGCUUUGAUAGCCCAGGUGAGGAGCAUCUCAUGUCACAUGUUCACUCCUUAACUAGUACCGUUUAAUUUGGGAUGAGUGACUUCUGGGGUUAUUUUAGAUAUCAACAUGCAGGUGAGACAAAACUUUGUUUGGCUCAAGAUCCUUGUUUGUGUUCCAGCUGGAUCAUUUUUUCCUCAGU